rnacentral:rRNA from 1 species
CGGGGGGCUGCAGUGAGGAAUUUUGCGCAAUGGGGGCAACCCUGACGCAGCAACGCCGCGUGAGUGAAGAAGGCCUUUGGGUCGUAAAGCUCUGUCGACAGGGAAGAAGUUAACAUUAUCCAAUAGGUAGUGUUAUUGACGGUACCUGUAGAGGAAGCACCGGCUAACUCCGUGCCAGCAGCCGCGGUAAUACGGGGGGUGCAAGCGUUAUUCGGAAUUAUUGGGCGUAAAGGGCGCGUAGGCGGUCUUGUCGGUCAGAUGUGAAAGCCCGGGGCUCAACCCUGGAAGUGCAUUUGAAACAGCAAGACUUGAGUACGGGAGAGGAAAGCGGAAUUCCUGGUGUAGAGGUGAAAUUCGUAGAUAUCAGGAGGAACACCGAUGGCGAAGGCAGCUUUCUGGACCGAUACUGACGCUGAGGCGCGAAGGCGUGGGUAGCGAACGGGAUUAGAUACCCCAGUAGUC